UUAUCCUGGCUCAGAUUAACGCUGCGGCAUUCCUUCCACAUGCAAGUCGAACGGCAGCGCGGGGGCAACCCUGCGGCGACCGGCGUACGGGUGAGUAAUGCAUCGGAACGUGUCCUCUUGUGGGGGAUAACCAGUCGAAAGACUGGCUAAUACCGCAUGAGAUCGCAAGAUGAAAGCAGGGGACCCGCAAGGGCCUUGCGCGAGAGGAGCGGCCGAUGCCCGAUUAGCUAGUUGGCGGGGUAACGGCCCACCAAGGCGACGAUCGGUAGCUGGUCUGAGAGGACGACCAACCACACUGGGACUGAGACACGGCCCAGACUCCUACGGGAGGCAGCAGUGGGGAAUUUUGGACAAUGGGGGCAACCCUGAUCCAGCCAUGCCGCGUGUGUGAAGAAGGCCUUCGGGUUGUAAAGCACUUUCGGACGGAACGAAAUCGCGCGAAUCUAAUAAGUCGCGUGGAUGACG
rnacentral:rRNA from 1 species